GAUGAACGCUGGCGGCGUGCCUAAUACAUGCAAGUCGAGCGAACAGACGAGGAGCUUGCUCCUCUGACGUUAGCGGCGGACGGGUGAGUAACACGUGGAUAACCUACCUAUAAGACUGGGAUAACUUCGGGAAACCGGAGCUAAUACCGGAUAAUAUAUUGAACCGCAUGGUUCAAUAGUGAAAGACGGUUUUGCUGUCACUUAUAGAUGGAUCCGCGCCGCAUUAGCUAGUUGGUAAGGUAACGGCUUACCAAGGCGACGAUGCGUAGCCGACCUGAGAGGGUGAUCGGCCACACUGGAACUGAGACACGGUCCAGACUCCUACGGGAGGCAGCAGUAGGGAAUCUUCCGCAAUGGGCGAAAGCCUGACGGAGCAACGCCGCGUGAGUGAUGAAGGUCUUCGGAUCGUAAAACUCGGUUAUUAGGGAAGAACAAAUGUGUAAGUAACUAUGCACGUCUUGACGGUACCUAAUCAGAAAGCCACGGCUAACUACGUGC
rnacentral:rRNA from 1 species